rnacentral:rRNA from 1 species
AACGAACGCUGGCGGCAUGCCUAACACAUGCGAGUCGAACGAGACCUUCGGGUCUAGUGGCGCACGGGUGCGUAACGCGUGGGAACCUGCCCUUAGGUUCGGAAUAACUCCCCGAAAGGGGUGCUAAUACCGGAUAAUGUCUUCGGACCAAAGAUUUAUCGCCUUUGGAUGGGCCCGCGUUGGAUUAGCUAGUUGGUAGGGUAAAAGCCUACCAAGGCGACGAUCCAUAGCUGGUCUGAGAGGAUGAUCAGCCACACUGGGACUGAGACACGGCCCAGACUCCUACGGGAGGCAGCAGUGGGGAAUAUUGGACAAUGGGCGAAAGCCUGAUCCAGCAAUGCCACGUGAGUGAUGAAGGCCUUAGGGUUGUAAAGCUCUUUUACCCGGGAUGAUAAUGACAGUACCGGGAGAAUAAGCUCCGGCUAACUCCGUG